UGAUUUCAACAAUGAAGCGAGUGGCGAACUGGUGAGUAACACGUGGGGAAUCUGCCCAGAAGCAGGGGAUAACACUUGGAAACAGGUGCUAAUACCGUAUAACAGAGAAAACCGCAUGGUUUUCUUUUAAAAGAUGGCUCUGCUAUCACUUCUGGAUGGACCCGCGGCGUAUUAGCUAGUUGGUGAGGUAACGGCUCACCAUGGCAAUGAUACGUAGCCGACCUGAGAGGGUAAUCGGCCACAUUGGGACUGAGACACGGCCCAAACUCC
rnacentral:rRNA from 1 species